UGGGGAAUCUUGGACAAUGGGGGCAACCCUGAUCCAGCGACGCCGCGUGGGUGAUGAAGGCCUUCGGGUUGUAAAUCCCUUUUCCCGGGGACGAUGAUGACGGUACCCGGGGAAUAAGCACCGGCUAACUCCGUGCCAGCAGCCGCGGUAAGACGGAGGGUGCUAGCGUUGUUCGGAAUGACUGGGCGUAAAGGGCGCGUAGGCGGCUUGGCAAGUCGGGUGUGAAAGCCCGGGGCUCAACCCCGGAACUGCAUCCGAGACUUUCAGGCUCGAGACCGGGAGAGGAGGGUGGAAUACCCAGUGUAGAGGUGAAAUUCGUAGAUAUUGGGUGGAACACCAGUGGCGAAAGCGGCUCUCUGGCCCGGAUCUGACGCUGAGGCGCGAAAGCGUGGGAGCAAACAGGAUUAGAUACCCUGGUAGUCCACGCCCUAAACGAUGUGCGCUAGAUGUCGGGGGGCUUGCCCUUCGGUGUCGGAGCUAACGUGUUAAGCGCACCGCCUGGG
rnacentral:rRNA from 1 species